CAAAAUCUCUACAGGGAACGCUAAUAAAUCAUUUGUUAGCAGACAUCAAUAUCAUAUCCAGCGUUACAGCAUUAUGAUUCAGGACCAUGUGAAAGCAAAUCCAUUUUUAAAAGAAUAUAAAAAUAAAAUCAAACAAGAUGGAAAACCCUUUUGUACAGAGUCCUAUAGAGGCCAGCUGAAAAUGUGUGCAAUCUGUAGCAUCGGGUGCUUUUUGAUAAAACCAGAGACUCAGCUCUAAUCUUCUUGGCUAAAAUACAUUCAGGACGUGUUUUUUUUCUGUCUUAAAAGAACCAUAGUGGAGUCAAAAUUGAAGAAAUGUCUUCUUAACAAGUGCCUACUAUUGACAAACACACUGGGCAAGUUAAAGCGUGGCAUCUCAUCUGCUUACAUUCAAAAAACAUCACUAAAAACCACAAGAAUAUUGUUUCCAUAGAUCAGAUUACGAUAUAAAGAAAUAAAAUCCCCUCAGCUGAGUGAAAUAAAUAAAUUUAAAUGGAUUUUAGCGUAUUUUCAGAUUGGACUGGAUGUUUUAACUUGCCAAGAGUGCCUUAAUAAGAGAAAAAGAAGAGAUUUAGCAAUCAUGUUAUGAAUUCACUGUGCAAAUAGGUAACAGCUAAAAGAAAGGAGAUAUAAUUCACGUGCUUCGCUGUGAAGUUGUGGAAUAAAAAUAUAACCCAAAUGAGGCAGAAGCAGAAGACAACACUCCGUUUCAUUUCAGAUAUACAUAUCCAUGCCAUUUACGAAUCAGGAAAAAAAACAAAGAUUAUUUUCAUCUUCACCUUAAACAGUUUGGGUUAUAUACAAUAAUAAGGGACAUUGUACAAAAAGAAAUGCUCAAGUACUAUGUUGUAAGCUUCAAACAUGAUCUUUUUUUUUGCCUCCCAUCAUUUAUUUCAGCACUGAGGUUUUGCCUUGGACACAUGGAAGUGCAUACACGAGUUUGAUCCAGAUACAAUCACUCACUUGAUAAAGGACGUUUGGACAUAUUAAAAGAAUACUCAUCGGACAUUCAAGAGGACACGUUAUCACUUUUUUCUUUAACAAAAAUAGACGUGGCUUAUCCAGCCUUGAAAUUCCUUCUCAAUAUAUAUAAAAUUAUGUCUCGUCUAUGUACAGUCAGAUAGCGUUCUGGAGGAUUAGAAAGGUCCUGCUCCAUUGCUGCUGGGGAGUGUGGGUAGUGCAGUUUUAGUGUCAACCUAUUUGAAGGCAGACAAUCGUUAUCUGUUGUGUGGUUCUACAGGGCGGAUUGUUCAGGGAGGGUUGAUUUAAUUUCUAUUCUGUUACUUUGUGCUCCAGGCAAGUCCCGCCAGCAUAACUGAUCAAAGUGUCGACAGACGACUGAGCUGAAAAUGAUUGUAAUUAGCCGAUAAUGAUUGUGUGUUGACAAGCGGGCGCAGGGUUGGAGCCAGAAGUAUGACUAGAUGUACAAUACGUGACCUGCUACACAUCUGCCCUGAUCUAUAGCUACUGUGGACAGAGCUGAGUGUGGAAAGGAGCCAGUAGUGUUAAUGCUAUUCUGAAUGAACCUCUGCCACUGGUGACUUUGUAAUCAUCUAGGCAUGACUCGCAAGAUACAGUUGCUACGGCUGUGCUUAUCUAGUGUCAUCACUGCUGUCCGGAGUUAAGUGAAGCCAGCAAAAACCAACCAAGUCAAGUCAUAACUUGAGCUCUCGUAUCUCAGAUUUUCUUUGUAUAAGAACAAAUCAUAACUAACUACUAAUCCCUUCUCAGAGGAGAGAAUACAUGGUCAGAUACACUGGGAAAAAAACCCUGCUCAAGUUGUUAAUAUGGCAUUUUGCUGACCUUUAUUGAAAAAGAUAACUUUAUUCUAAUGACAUCUCUUUAUUUUUCUAGUUUCUCUAUGUUCUGACAGCUACAGAUGUUUCCCUCUGUGGGUUUUUCAGUUUGGAUUUCAGGCAAAACAGAUGUGUGGCAGUGUUUCAUCAUGAGUUGGUGACAUUCUCACUGGUUCUCUGCUCCUUCAUUUCUCAUUCCAAAGAUGACUUUGUCCAUAAUGGGUAUGUGGCUCUGUGGCUCCUCAAACUGAUGAUUGGUCCCACACCU
ensembl:lncRNA